UUGGAGGGCAGUCUGGUGCCAGCAGCCGCGGUAAUUCCAGCUCCAAUAGCGUAUAUUAAAGUUGUUGCAGUUAAAAAGCUCGUAGUUGAAUUUCGGGGUUAGUAGGUUGGUCAUGCCUCUGGUAAGUACUGGUCUCACUGAUUCCUCCCUCUUGACGAACUGUAAUGUCAUUAAUUUGGUGUUGCAGGAAAUCAGGACUGUUACUUUGAAAAAAUUAGAGUGUUUAAAGCAGGCUAAGGCUUGAAUACAUUAGCAUGGAAUAAUGAAAUAGGACGUUUGAUCCUAUUUUGUUGGUUUCUAGGAUUGACGUAAUGAUUAAUAGGGAUAGUUGGGGGCAUUAGUAUUCAAUUGUCAGAGGUGAAAUUCUUGGAUUUAUUGAAGACUAACUACUGCGAAAGCAUUUGCCAAGGAUGUUUUCAUUAAUCAAGAACGAAAGUUAGGGGAUCGAAGACGAUCAGAUACCGUCGUAGUCUUAACCAUAAACUAUGCCGACUAGGGAUCGGAUGAUGUUAAUUUUUUAAUGACUCAUUCGGCGCCUUACGGGAAAC
rnacentral:rRNA from 1 species